rnacentral:tRNA from 1 species
GCUGGCGAAGCGCAGUGCGGGCCUACUUCGUUUGAGGAACGAGAGGUCGCAGGUUCGAGUCCUGCCCGCGCCCCCUCCA